CCUACGGGAGGCAGCAGUGGGGAAUAUUGGUCAAUGGUCGGGAGACUGAACCAGCCAAGCCGCGUGAGGGAUGAAGGUACAGAGUAUCGUAAACCUCUUUUGUCAGGGAACAAAGGCGGGGACGCGUCCCCGGAUGAGUGUACCUGAAGAAAAAGCAUCGGCUAACUCCGUGCCAGCAGCCGCGGUAAUACGGAGGAUGCGAGCGUUGUCCGGAUUUAUGGGGUUAAAGGGGUGGGCAGGCGGUCUGUUAAGUCAGCGGUAAAAGCCCGGGGCCCACCCCCGGCCCGCCGUUGAAACUGGCAGUCUCGAGUUGGAGAGAAGUAUGCGGAAUGCGCGGUGUAGCGGUGAAAUGCAUAGAUAUCGCGCAGAACUCCGAUUGCGAAGGCAGCAUGCCGGCUCCACACUGACGCUGAGGCACGAAAGCGUGGGUAUCGAACAGGAUUAGAUACCCGAGUAGUC
rnacentral:rRNA from 1 species